UUUGGCCUGAUUAACAGACCUACUUUAUGUACGACAUCUUGAGUUAAUGCGUUAUGUGUAAGUGCUAUCUUGAUUAGCCUUUGUAGACCGUUUCCUUCUUAGUGCCCCAUAAGUAAUAGCUGAUAAUGGCCAACACAUGCCCAAGGUGGCGAGUUUUUUUUGAUAUAUAGGAAAGUUACAUGUCUGACAAAAUGAAAGGUCAAGUGAAGUGGUUCAACGAGUCCAAAGGUUUUGGUUUCAUUACUCCAGCCGAUGGUAGCAAAGACGUAUUCGUUCACUUCUCUGCCAUUCAAGGUAACGGUUUCAAAACUCUGGCUGAAGGUCAGAACGUAGAGUUCACCAUUGAAAACGGUGCCAAAGGCCCAGCAGCAGCAAACGUAACUGCUAUCUAAUCUGCCUUUAUACCUUUUUAUUAAGCUCGCCAUGCUAAAAUGCCCUGGCGGGCUUUU
rnacentral:sRNA from 1 species